AGGAAACAUGGCAUCGUAUACACUAAAAUUGGAACAAAAUAGAAGUUAGUAUAGUCCUUGUUCAAGGAUGACAUUCAGAUUCUUGAGGCUUUUGUUUUGUUU